AGAGGCUCUGGUGCAAGUAACAGCAAAUGAGUGUGUCACUGAUUUGUGCAUGCAGUACAUGCAUGUGUGUGCGUGUGCAUGUGUGUGCAUAUACACCCCCCCACCCCCUCCUCACCCCUCCUCUCUUGCGUCGGUGAGGCAGCAUACUGGUAUGCUUCACUGGCACUGUGGCCCCGGUUGCAAGCACUGAUCCUGAGGCUCGAUGCUAGCUCUGUUCUUUCAUCUCCGUCGGCGUCUCUCUCCGUCACUUUCCCUUUCUUUCUCUGGCUGUCUACCUGUUCUGUCUGACCCUAGGUAUCAAUUCCCUUCAGCGCUACAAUUUCUGGGAAGAGGAAUCGUCUGGCCGACUCUCUUGCGAUUCUCUUCCCUGGACCGCUUGCUCUCGCUCUGGGAGUGUUUGUGUGUGUGCGUGUGAGUGUGUGUGAAAGAGAGAGAGGGAGGGAGAGAGAGCGAGAGCGCAGAGAUAGAGGGAGAGGGAGCGUGCACAUGGUUCAUUCCGGCUUGGUCCUACCACCCAUACUCAUCUUUCUUGUCUCCAUCCGUCGCUCUCUUGCCGUUUAUUUCACCUGACUUUGAGCAGCUUGCCGGACAGACCAGCCUCUUCCUUGUGCCGCCUUUCCCCCUCCUUUUUUAAUAUUUUAAAUCCCUUCUUUUACUUCUGAGCAUAACUGGAAUCUUGUUGCCAUGCUGUAAGUUUAAAUCUGAGCUUUCUCUUUCUCUCUGUCUCCUUUAUUCUUCCCCUCCCUGAGCAGGCAGCGAGCUACAAGAACAACGAGCGAUGGGGACAUCCUGGAUUCGAAGGGGAGGCCUGGUAGACCAGGUCAGGACACGUUGGGGAUCGGUCCGUGAACAUGAGACGGAUAUGACAACCACAGUGAAGCAAACUUCAGCUGCCCAUACACACUCCUGUACACGUUUCUGUGGUGUACAGAGCUUGACCAGGACGUACUGAUGUGCACACACUCACAUACUGACUAUGAAACAGCAAGUGUUAUUUUUAAAAAUAUUUUAAAUGUCUUUGUAAUACAAAAAUAUGUAAUAAAAUAUUUAUCAAAUGUC